rnacentral:rRNA from 1 species
UACGUAGGUGGCGAGCGUUGUCCGGAUUUACUGGGCGUAAAGGGAGCGUAGGCGGAUUUUUAAGUGAGAUGUGAAAUACUCGGGCUUAACCUGAGUGCUGCAUUUCAAACUGGAAGUCUAGAGUGCAGGAGAGGAGAAGGGAAUUCCUAGUGUAGCGGUGAAAUGCGUAGAUAUUGUGAGGAACACUAGUGGCGAAGGCGAAUCUCUGGACAGUUCCUGACGCUGAGGCACGAAGGCCAGGGGAGCAAACGGG